rnacentral:tRNA from 3 species
GCGAGAUAGCUCAGCUGGCUAGAGCGUUCGGUUCAUACCCGAAAGGUCGUGGGUUCGAUCCCCUCUCUCGC